UACGUAGGGUGCGAGCGUUGUCCGGAAUUAUUGGGCGUAAAGAGCUCGUAGGCGGUCUGUCGCGUCGAUCGUGAAAACUUGGGGCUUAACCCUGAGCUUGCGGUCGAUACGGGCAUGACUGGAGUUCGGCAGGGGAGACUGGAAUUCCUGGUGUAGCGGUGAAAUGCGCAGAUAUCGGAAGGAACAUCAGUGGCGAAGGCGACUUCCUGGACCAGUACCGACGUUCAGGCACGAAAGCGUGGGGAGCAAACAGG
rnacentral:rRNA from 1 species